CACCACCCGCCCUCAGGAGGCUGUGUCCUUGCAGGCACUGGUUCAUCGUCACUACUGGUGAUUUACUCAGACCAAUCAGCAGGCGGCCUGCUCGGCAGCUCGCUGCUGAGUCUCUGCAGACACAGCCAGCUAUUGCCUGAUGCAUCACCAGGUUAAUGGAGCGCUACCCGCGUCCUCGCCGCCCCACCCUGAAACCCCAGGGACUGACUCCGACCCCGAUAAUCCUGCUCUGAGGACAGGAGAAAGAGCAUCUAACAGUAACAAGAGAGCAGGCAUGGGCGGCAGAUGUCACGAUUCCCAUCAAAGGCCGGUUUCGGAAAGCAGAAAGUUGAAUGGCUCCAUUGUGCUUUACAGGCUGGAAGCAAGAGGCUAGAAAGGGCCGGUUCAAGGCGUGGGGGCUACGGGGAAUAGAGUCUUGGGGUGCACACCUUAUUUUGGGGUCUGAAACCCCCAACGCUGUAAACUUAAGUGUCUGAGGUAGCCCUGCACUCGGGGUUUGCUGGAGCCGGAAGCAAAGGCUGCUUAGAGGAAAAAGGGGGGCAGGAGAAACAAAGCAGGGUGAGCCGGUAUGCAAUCCCUUCCCUCGGCUUGGGGUCUGAUGGUGUCGCCCUCCCCGCAUCCAGGGCAGCCGGACCCCCUCGGACCAACCGAACCGGCCUAGGCCCACAUGGAGCCCACCGGGGAGUUCUCCUUUUCCUUCUUUUGAAGAACGGAGCUUCCGUGAGGAUUGAUGCUCGCCCCCCCGCCCCCGAAGAUUCGCAAGAAAAGACAUUACAUUUGCACAGACCUGAUUUGGGGUGCAGCGAUGAACAGGAGAAGGGGGAGAAGGAGGAGCAGGAGCAGGACCCCAAUCAUCUUGCAGCAGCACAACGAGGUGCCCCAGCGGUGCUCACCAACCGUGGUUUCCCCUCCCUGGCGCGCCCUAGUACUUUACAUCAAAACCCGGGAGCAAAGCCCUCUGGGAAAUGUAGUCCAAGCCCUGGCGUGGGCUAGCAGGCGGGGAGCUUGCUGUUCCCAGUCACGGAGAAAAGUUGAACCGUCCGCCAGGUACACUGCAGAUCCCCAACCAUCUAGGGUCCAAGCCCUUUGGGACCAUCCAACCAGCUCUCCCACAACCCUUCUGGCCACCGCGGUUUUUGGGAAAUCUCCCCAAACCUCUAUCUCCAGGUGCCUAAGUCUAGUCUAGAGUCUGGUUCACUUUUCCCCAAGCAUUGGUAGGCAGUUACCACAUCGUUUGUCCUGGACAUCAAACAUUGGCAUCUGGGAUAUGUUUUAGGCCGAUUACACAGAAGAGGAGCGGUUGGAGGCUGACAGUUGGCAAGGCAGGGAGAAGUGAGAAUUCUUCCUCCUUAGGGAUUCCAAUGGAGCUGAAGCAAUUGGUUCCUGAACCCGUUCCCAGGAGAACCACUUGAUUGUGUCUAUUUUGAAUUAUAACGGUAACUAUGAUAAUUUUCCUGGUGUUUGGCGAUUAAUUGAUAGUAGAAUAUAGUUUUCUUGAUGACUUCAGUUAGUUAGGUUAACUCCCAAGGUAGCAAUGAACUUCUCAGGUGGGCAAACUACGGAUCCGGCCCGUUUGAAAUGAAUAAAACUAAAAAAAAAAAAAGACCGUACCCUUUUAUGUAAUGAUGUUUACUUUGAAUUUAUAUUAGUUCACACAAACACUCCAUCCAUGCUUUUGUUCCGGCCCUCCGGUCCAGUUUAAGAACCCAUUGUGGCCCUCGAGUCAAAAAGUUUGCCCACCGCCGCAGCACAGUUGGUUUUGCCAAUUCGUGAAACUGUUUAAUCCUGUCUUCAAGUCAUGAUUAUGACCUGAGAACAAGCAGGUUCCCUGUUCAGUCAUUUAUUUAAGCUUUGCCAUCUGAGGCUUAUAUCUGGUUUCCAGGGGGUGAAGGUGGGGGAUGUUUAAGUAGUCAAUAUCUGGCUGUGAUUCCUGAUUGCACCACCCUAAUGUAUUCUGGAUCUUUCUUCCAGAUAAUUCAUUUCCAUUUUUUUGAAAGACAUAUGCUCCAAGAUCAAUUUGAGUGAUGAGAAUGUGAAGCAACUGGCUUUCUCAUACAACUUGGCAAUUUCUCAAACUGUUAAAUAUGUUAAGCAUACAUUUAUUAUUGUGACUCCUAGGUAAUUUUCCAGGAGAAAUAAAAGUUAUUCAUAAAGAUGUGUA